CCCUGUUUGGAAUGAGACGAACACUAAACUGUCUGGCAUUAAAACAUCCAAUAAAAAAAGUCAAAAAAAUAAUAUAUUUCGUGCCCAUAAGGCAAUAAAAAAUUAUUCUAGUUAUAAUAUAACUGUAGCUCCAAUUAAAUGUUAUGAAAAUGCAUUGUUGAAUAAAAAUAUAAUUCUUACUGAAAAUAAGAAGGAAUCCGGUAUUUAUCGUUGAGUGAAUACAUUAAAUAACAAUACUUAUGUAGGUAGUGGUUUAAAUCUCUCAAAAAGAGUAAUCCCGGCCGCGCGCAUAGCGCGCUGGGAUGUGCUUCGCUCGGAGAUUACUACAAAAAAAGUGAAUUAAAUAGGAAUCCUAGACCUAUACAUGCUGCUUUACUAAAAUAUGGAUACGAAAAUUUCAAUUUGGAAAUUUUAGAGUAUUGCAAAGCAGAUGAGCUACUUGUAAGGGAACAGUAUUAUUUGGAUUUAUUAAUACCUGAGUAUAAUGUUUUAACACGUGCUUAUUCUUUGUUAGGUUUUAAACAUAGCCCAGAAAAUAUUGCUAAGUUUAAACUAAAAAAGAUUUCACAGGAACAUAAAGAUAUUUUAUCUUUAACUCAUUUAGGUAAGGUUGUUAGUCAAGAAACUAAGGAUAAAUUAUCUCUUGCUACAACCAAUUAUAAAAAAAAUAAUCCUCUUUCGUCUGAAGCUUUAGCUAAUAUAAAAGCUAAAACUAUGGCACGUGAAGGAGUAUCUGUUUCAGUUUUAAAUACUCAAACUGAUGAAGUAAUAAGUUUUUCAACUUUAACUGAAGCAGGUCAGUAUUUAGAUGUAAAAAGACAAGCUAUACGAAACGCAAUUAAUAGAGGAAGUCUAGUUAAAGGACUUUAUCGUGUUUCAGAAGAUAAGUAGGCAGUAUAUACACUUAAAUAAGUACAACUAAAUAUAUAUAAAAUUACUUUAGCUUCGAUAUUAAAGAAAAGAAGCCAGGAAUAUAUACAUUAAUAAUGUAUAUUAUAACCUGUUGUCUAAAUGGAUAGUUCAUUUUUUGAACUGUUUAGGGAGAAGAUCCAUGUUUAAUUAGUACAUAAAUAUGGAUUUCUGUGUAUGUCAAAAGGGAAACAGCCCAGAACAAGAGUUAAGGUUCCGAAAUUAUUGUUAAGUGAAAUUAAGAAAGUCUUUAUUCAAGUCGACAAGGAGAUGGGCUUAGAAGCAGCCAUAAUUCAAAGACCUCGUAACAGAGCGCUUGUUAAUUUUUAAAGGCGUCGAAAAUUUAACGGAUCUAAACAAUGUACCGAAACCUUGUCCAUAUUUGAUAAUAAUAAAUAAAUUAUUGUCUUUUACUGGGGUAGCAGAACAUUGAGUAAACCUGCUUCAUUAUAUUAUUUUAUAAUAAAUGAGUAUCACUAACAGCAAACUCAAGAGAUAAUGGUGACAUGAGUAACAAAAAAGAAGUUGUAAGUCGUUCUUUCUUUAAGGAGAAAGAAAUCAUACGAUAUUUCAACUCUCGCCUAAAGCUUAUGGUUUAUUUAAAGUAACGGCCUCUAAGUUUACAAUCCCAAAGGUUGAAACGAUGAGAAAAUCUUAUUACUUAAAGGACAACAUUUAUAAAGUGAAAAGUGUGCUGGAAAAAUUAAGUAAUAUAUUAAUAUUUAACAAUAAACUAAAAAAGAUGAGUUUAAUAUUGAUGAAAAAUAACCGUACCUAGAAACUGUGACAAGUAAGCUAGUGUAGAAUACGAAGGCGUAAAUGAGCUAACAAUCAUAAAGGAACUCGGCAAACUAACUACCGUAACUUAGGGAUAAGGAGGGCUCGCUCGUCCCAGCGCGCGUUUUUCGCGCGCUGGGUAAGAAGGAAGAAGCAUAAAAUAAUGUUGUACGACUGUUUAAUUAAAACAAAGCACUUUGCAUAAAGACUUAAAGUCUAAGUAUAGAGUGUGAUUUCUGCCCGGUGCCGGCUGGCUAACGAAAAUAACUAACUUUAAAAGGUUUGGUACUGUAGGAACCCCCGGUUAAUGGCGGCCUUAUCUUGAGGGUCCUAAGGUAGCGGAAUACCUUGACUGUUAAAUGCAGUCUUUGCAUGAAUGAUGUAACGAUACAACAGCUGUCUCUAUGAUUGACUCAGUGAAAUUGGCAUAACUGUGCAGAUACAGUUUACCUCUAGUUAGACGAGAAGACCCUAUGCAGCUUUACUGUUACUAAUUAUUAGGUAUGGUUGGGGACAAAUUUUAGUAAAUAAGGUAAUUGAUAAGAUAGAAAUGUAAUACCUUUAUUUGGGGAUCGUAUUGUAUGGAUAAAUUAAUCCUCUUCUUUUUUGUUACAAAAAAGACCGGUAACCUUAGAAAGGAAAAAUUGCUAGGAGACAGUUUAUGCGGGGCACAGACCCCACAAAGAGUAAAUGGGAGUGUCCAAUUAUGUUUUACGCCUAUUGUUUAUGGAUGUAUCACUAAAUAAAAUUUUAAAUGUAAUUUUUUGUUUGUAAUAGUAGAUAGCAAUACGCUAUAUUCUAUCUUAUAUAUGUAUUGAUGUACAAGCCUAAACACAAAAUGUGUUUAAUGAUUAUUGCUUUUUUGUAUCUAAAUACUUUUUCGGUAUGGAUUUACAAAACUUUAAUGAGGAGCAAAAAUUUUUUUAUUAGGUAGGAUUUUGAUUAAGGUGAAAUUAGUCGUAGUUAAAUUAUUAUGAAGGCUUCAUAUAAAAAUCUAUAUAUUUUUUUUAGAGCUCUUCUAAUAAUUUAUUAGCUAUUAUAUGUCAGUAUUUAAUGGUUAUGUAGAAUACUUAUCAAGUUUAAUGGCUUAAUCCUGCCUUACUGUUUGACCACCAACAAGUCUUACAGUCGCGUAAGCGGGGCAUAGGAUCACAAGGCACAAAAAGGAAAGGUCUUGGAUUAUUGGAAAAGCUACGCUAGGGAUGUUUGUCCUUCAAUGUUUAAAACCAUUGUUAUUUAAUUGGGUUAAUUUCAAAAAUUACUUAUACCUAGUUGUAAGUAGAUUUGAAGCGAAGUUUAUCUUAAGAUAAAAUCGUUCAACGACUAUAGA
rnacentral:rRNA from 1 species